rnacentral:lncRNA from 1 species
GAUCCGUAAGCGACAUAAUCUCGAGAGGCAUAUAAGUGAACUUGUUCAAGCCUAAAGGCUAAUUAAUAUUUCAACAUUUGUAGUAUAGCUUCAAGAAGCAUAUAAAAGAACUCAUUCAAGCUUAUGGGUGAACUACACCAUCACCAGUCCAGUAGGAACUGGACAUCUUAUAACGCUCUUGUACUUCGAGUUCUAGCAUAAAGAGCUAACAUAGAAUUUCUUGAAAUUCUAAGGUGUAACAUGUACGAAUGACUAUCAAUUCACAUAUGAAUAAAUCUAGAUCCUUAGGGAGAUCACAUCAAACAUAUGGAACUCUAUAUCUAGGAAACCGAUAGAUAUUCCAAAAUUGAGAUGUUUAGCCUUACAUACCUUGAUUCUCAACCUUUAGCUCAACUACAAAGAAUCAAUCCAUCUGUUAUAAGCUUCAACCUACAUAGAACGUUAAAGACGAGGACUGGAAUCAACAAUAACAACCCAACAUCAUGCUUUAAUUAUACAAACAAUUCGUCAAACACUCGGAGAGCGACGAGUUGUCGAGACUUAGAACUCAUUGGCGUUCUCCACACCCAACCUUCUCCUAGCUCACACAACAAACAAACUCCAUACAAUGCUAAAUAAUACCUCCCGUUCUUCAUAACACAUAAAACAACCCCUUACUCAUCUCAAACAAAUAACAAAUCUUGGACUCACAGCUUCCGAUCAUCAUCCCGUGAGUUCUUAUCGUAAAACAUACUAAAACACUCACAUGAGCUCGUACAUGAAGGUGGAAGAGAAGCCUUAUCUUGGCUGCCGAACCCUAGAACUCUCUUCACUUAGUUCUCUUGGAAUAACCCCUUCGAUUUGCAAUAAUCCGCAGAUGAAUUGAUGUUAAAAUCAUGAAAUCAAUGGGGGGAAUAACCAUGUUUAAUUCUUGGAAGAAGCUUACCUUGAAGAUCUUUGAUGACGGAGAGAAAAACUCGAGAGAGCUGUUUAGUUCGUCCAAGGGAAAUGUUACAAAUGAAUUCCCAAAGUUUAAACAUAAAGAGGCGUUUGGCUAUACAUUUUGACAAAAUAA